UACGUAGGGCGCAAGCGUUGUCCGGAAUUAUUGGGCGUAAAGAGCUCGUAGGCGGUUUGUCGCGUCUGCUGUGAAAACCUGAGGCUCAACCUCGGGCUUGCAGUGGGUACGGGCAGACUAGAGUGUGGUAGGGGAGACUGGAAUUCCUGGUGUAGCGGUGAAAUGCGCAGAUAUCAGGAGGAACACCGAUGGCGAAGGCAGGUCUCUGGGCCAUAACUGACGCUGAGAAGCGAAAGCAUGGGGAGCGAACAGG
rnacentral:rRNA from 1 species